GCUCCAUCCUGGCCCUUCUCUCUUCCUCCCUGUCACAGCAGCAGCGUCCUGACCACUGGCGCGCGUGCGCGCCAUGGACGUCGUGGCGUGGAGCUUGUUCUCGUCGUCGCGUGGCUUCCUUGUUGCCUCCUUUCUGCGUGCUCUAACACGAUCUGGUUCGAGCGCGUCUUGGCGCAGUUUGUUCGCAACAUGGACAGGCCGGGUCUUCAACCUUUGGUCGUCAGUUUCGCUCGCGUCCCAUGGCCUCCUAUGCUUGUUCAAAUAACAACGACCUUUCCCCUCUACAGGAAUCAACAACAGUUCAUCACGUCUGUUUCUGCGUCUCCUGCUACCAUCUUGUCUGUCUUUUUUAUCUCUGCAAUCUCACGCCAUAUAUAUUCAGAUAGGCUGCGCCUCCAACUUGUAUCAACAUGUGAAGAGUAGCUCAGGUAAUUGGACCCUUUUGUUGUUAAUCUUGUGAUCCAUUGUUCAAAUACAUUUCCCUGCAAAUAAAUUCAGUAUUUGACUCAGAUGUCACGUCGCGCCCUUCCUGUUUCAUAAGGACGCAUCCAAUCUUUUCCCUCUCUGUCCACUCCCCAUUAUUUCAAUUAUGCAAAUUAUGUUUGUUUCUCUAUUUUCCAAACUAUUGCUCCAAAUAAAAUGUUUUAUAUAUGAAAGUUUAUUAGAAAAAUGUAAAGAAUCUAAAUAUGUCAUUCAUAUUUCCGGUUUGCAUCUCACAUCAUAUUGUACCGUAUUAGUUUGCAUCACAUCUAAUACAUAAUAUGCGGAGUAUUUUGGAAUUUAUUGACUAGGGUUUUUCCCGCUCCGUUUAAUUUUGAUGUAGCGCACCCCCUGCCUUGAUAUGCCAUGCUAUCCAACCCUUAACUUUGUAAGUAGAAAUGCAACUCCAACCUUAAUUGUUUGUCCAGGUUUCCGAUCCCGCUUAAAUUAGAUAAGUGCAUCGCAUCAUAAUUGCAGGGACGGAUUUACCGUCCGGGCACUCUGGGCACGUGCCCGGCCUCGACCCCGGCGCGUACAGGCACUCCGACGAUCUCUCCGUCCGACCUAUGGAGCUGGAACAACGAUAUUUAGAUGGAAAACACGAUGAAAAUCACCUAUAUCGUCGAAACUAAGCCAGCUUGGGCCUUGCUUGUUCCGCAGCACGAAAUAGAUUCGGCCCAUUACAUUCCAAUGUCCCUACGUGGGCUGGUCAGUGGUCAGCACGUUCGAUCGCUGUAUUGAUCGGUUCGUCUCCAGACUCUGUCUGUAGACUCCCGUCGUUCUCGCGAGCUGAAACCGACGGGAUGAUGCUAUUGUUAGACGCUUUCAAGCCAUGAAGAAACGGAAAGAACAACUUCCCAGGCCUAAUUAGCACAUUAUUGAUUCUUAUUGGAUGUGCGCAGUACUUGGAUGUGCGCCUUAGGUUGAACAAUAGAAUUAGCAUAUUGGACUUCUAUUCUCAAAUCGUCCGUAGCCGAUAGAAGAGAAGUAAAGAGUAAACAGGAGAGUAACUGAAGAAAUGAAUGCAAGCCUCUUGACUUAUCAGUAAUGAUUAGGAAGAAAGAAGCUGUCAAGAGCUUUGACUUUCAUUGCAUUGCCAGUAGCGGAUGCUCUCAUGAAAAAUGAACUACCAAUUGCCAAAUAUUUUCAAUCUUCUUCCAUCCAACAAACUUGUUCAAUUCAUUUUCUUGAGAUCUGUGAAAUAGUGAUAUUAUACUUGUUGGAUAGAGGGAGUAUACUUUAUUAUUAUUAUGUUUUUUUGGAUAAAGUAUUAUUAUUAUGUUU